GAACGAACGCUGGCGGCGUGGAUUAGGCAUGCAAGUCGAACGAGAAUCUGAGAGUUCAAGUUUUCGGACAAGAACUUUUGGAGGAAAGUGGCGGAAGGGUGGGUACAACAUGGAUAAUCUACCUUCAAGUUGGGUAUAGCUUCCCGAAAGGGGAGAUAAUCCCGAAUGUGGUGAUCCGGCGCAUGCCGGAGAAUCCAAAGGCGGGGACCGCAAGGCCUGCCGCUUGGAGAUGAGUCCGUGCACUAUCAGCUAGUUGGCGGGGUAACGGCCCACCAAGGCUUUGACGGUUAGCUGGUCUGAGAGGAUGGUCAGCCACACUGGGACUGAGACACGGUCCAGACUCCUACGGGAGGCAGCAGUGAGGAAUAUUGGUCAAUGGACGAGAGUCUGAACCAGCCAAGUCGCGUGAAGGAAGACGGCCCUACGGGUUGUAAACUUCUUUUGUAAGGGAAUAAAUAGUCUUACGCGCUAAGACGUUGCAGGUACCUUACGAAUAAGGAUCGGCUAACUCCGUGCCAGCAGCCGCGGUAAUACGGAGGAUCCGAGCGUUAUCCGGAUUUAUUGGGUUUAAAGGGUGCGCAGGCGGCAUGUUAAGUCGGCGGUGAAAUUUUGCAGCUCAACUGUAAAAGAGCCUUCGAAACUGGCAAGCUUGAGUGUGGAUGAAGUANNCNGAAUUUGUGGUGUAGCGGUGAAAUGCAUAGAUAUCACAAAGAACACCGAUUGCGCAGGCAGCUUACUAAACCAUAACUGACGCUCAUGCACGAAGGCGUGGGGAUCAAACAGGAUUAGAUACCCUGGUAGUCCACGCAGUAAACGAUGAUUANUGGCUGUUUGCGAUACAAUGUAAGCGGCUGAGCGAAAGCGUUAAGUAAUCCACCUGGGGAGUACGUUCGCAAGAAUGAAACUCAAAGGAAUUGACGGGGGCCCGCACAAGCGGAGGAACAUGUGGUUUAAUUCGAUGAUACGCGAGGAACCUUACCCGGGCUUGAAAUGCAUCUGACGUAUUCGGAAACGGAUAUUCCCUACGGGGCAGAUGUGUAGGUGCUGCAUGGUUGUCGUCAGCUCGUGCCGUGAGGUGUCGGCUUAAGUGCCAUAACGAGCGCAACCCUCAUCGUCAGUUACCAUCAGGUAAAGCUGGGGACUCUGGCGAGACUGCCAUCGUAAGAUGCGAGGAAGGUGGGGAUGACGUCAAAUCAGCACGGCCCUUACGUCCGGGGCGACACACGUGUUACAAUGGGUGGUACAAAGGGCAGCUACCUGGCGACAGGAUGCUAAUCUCCAAAACCACUCUCAGUUCGGAUCGGAGUCUGCAACUCGACUCCGUGAAGCUGGAUUCGCUAGUAAUCGCGCAUCAGCCACGGCGCGGUGAAUACGUUCCCGGGCCU
rnacentral:rRNA from 1 species